rnacentral:lncRNA from 1 species
CCACCACCUCCUCUCUCUCUCUCUCUCUCUCUCUCUCUAUCUCUCUAUCUCUAUCUCUCUCUGGCCGUAUAUGACAGUGCCCGUUUUCUGCAAGGACUCUCCGAUUCGGAAAUUGUUCGGCCACACCACUCUCGGUCCAAUUCCUCCUCACCCGCCAUCUUCCUCUCUCGAGGAGGCCGCCCUUUAUCGUUCAUCCUCUGGGGCGGGAGAAGCCGCAGAGGGAGGCCGGCGUUCCGCUGAGAGGCUCAGGUAAAUUCACCCGGAUGCGCACUUGGAUGAUAAUCCCGCCCAUCUGCUGUCGGUGGCGUCGUUUCGAUAUUUCUCUCUCUUUUUUUUCUUUUUUGCCGGUGGAUUUAUGAUUUCUCCUCGAGCUUUCCAGCGGAGGGGAUUUACUUGCGUCAAGGAUUUUCUGCGCUGGAAUCCCGAGGGAGUAGCACCAAGAUCACUGGGUCGGUGAAAUCUGGCUAUUAGAUUUCUAUAAUUAAGUUUUUUCCGCAAUCAGUGCGCAGGAUCAAGAACUGGUCGUAGGCUACCUUUAUCGAGUUGGAAUCAUGGACGAAUAUCCUUCUGGGGGUCAUGGUUUUGCCACUCCGGAGUCUCAAUCCAUUGCGUACAUAGAUCCUGGUAGCUUAUUGAGGGUUAUGCCUUUGACCAUCGCCGGAAUUCAGAUAGAAGGGUUAUGGUGUAGAACGCCUGAUAGUCGUAAGAUGUAUUUCUUGGCGUAGAUCUCUGUUUACUUGAAUGCCGUGCAGAAAAAAAAUCAACCCAUUCCCCGUUUAUCUGGACCAGUGGGAUUUAUUUUACUGCGACUCUGUUUCAAUUGAUUCUCGAGCGCAGAAGGUGCUCUGUGGAAACUCUGCUGCCUAUUUCAUCUUUGCCCCGAAUGAUCUUGCUGUAGAAAUGUUCAUCUGGGGAAAGUUUUUUCUCGACCCCAUUGUUGUAAUCUUGAGUUCUCUCUUGGGAUAUGUUUGAGUUCAAUUAUUCUUGAACAUUUAUAACCAUCCAGAAGUUGCCAUUUGCUUGGAUUCUACACGAUUCAUUUUUUUAAUUAAAUCUAUUAUAAUUUUAUGUAUGGGUGUGGUCUAUAUGUGCUGAUAGCAGAACUUUUCCUUCACAGAUUAUAGAGAUGGCAUGCAUCUGUCUCGUACUGACUAUUUCUUGAAGUGAAUUACCUUGAAAAUGUCUCAUAAUAUUUGAUAUUUUCCCUCUAAAUUAAAGCAUUUUAUUUCGCUUGAUGAUAUUUAGAAAACCCAUUAAUGAUUUACUAAACGGAAUCUCUUGGUAAUCUCCGUUUCUCUGCUUAUCUCAG